UUGUUGUGCCCGUAGUAAAUGUGCUUGUCUUCUAGCUAACUACUGCAGAAGAAAUUGAAAAAUUAAGCAAAGAAGUAACACUGACGCCAAUGGAAUACUAGAAUAGUUGUCAAUUUGACAUUCAUCAAAUUACAUAAAUCUAUUUGUUCAAAUGGGCUCAUACCACUUAUAAGGUACUCAUCAGUCAUAAAAAACAAUUGGAAAAGUUCAAAUAUAGGCUCAUACUUCUGUCAUUUUCAAAUAUUGUAGCUAAUCAAAGACAAGGAACUUGAAUGUGACUUCCAAAAAAAAAGGAUCGCCAGAAGCAUAGCUGCAAAAGUAACAGAUUCAAACAAUGUAUAGUGAAGAAAUAAGAUUAAUGCAAUAAAUGGUUAAGGAAAACGAGAAUGCAAGUCAAGAUAGAGCAAAAGUAUGGAUAGAAAAAGAUUUAAGAACUUUAUGCAAAACGAGUACUUUCUUUGCUUGUAUGAGAGUUUUCAGUAAUUUGGAAAACAUAACAACAUAAAAAAGCUGCCAAGGACUCGAAAUACAAACAGGCUCCAGAACAAACAUAAGAAAAUUUCACAAAAAAUCCCUAAUUCAACUAAAAAAACCAUAAGAAAACCCAAAAAUAAGAUCAUAUUUCUCGAUUAAAAACCAGAAAGUGCAAUGAGCGCAAAAAAAAACUUGUUACCUUAGUAUUUGGGUCUUUAAAUUGUUUCUCCGGUCUUUGUUUGUAACCUUUGCACAACAAGUUGACCUAAGCCCUUCAAAGAAUAGAAACUCUUUGUACAAAAUCUUAGUUUCUCAGAUUCAUUCUGCACUUAAUCAGACUAAACCUCAGAAAACUCUAAAUUAAAAGAGGUCUGAGGGUUUUUAUGGCAUCAGAAAGAGGGAUGGGCGUAUCAGAGUUUUUAGAGAGAGGAGAUGGGGGAAUCGGAGAUUUUGAAGAGGAAGUAGAAGAUUCUUGUAGAAGAAGAAGGUUUUCCAGUUAAGAAGAAGGUUGUGGCAUUGGGGAUAUCGCGGCAUUGGGUAUAUACAGAAC
rnacentral:lncRNA from 1 species